UGAGGAAUAUUGGUCAAUGGGCGAGAGCCUGAACCAGCCAAGUAGCGUGCAGGAUGACGGCCCUAUGGGUUGUAAACUGCUUUUAUGCGGGGAUAAAGUGCGGCACGUGUGCCUUUUUGUAUGUACCGCAUGAAUAAGGACCGGCUAAUUCCGUG
rnacentral:rRNA from 1 species